rnacentral:rRNA from 1 species
UACAGAGGGGGCAAGCGUUGUUCGGAAUUACUGGGCGUAAAGGGCGCGUAGGCGGCCCGCUAAGUCGAACGUGAAAUCCCCAGGCUCAACCUGGGAACUGCGUCCGAUACUGGUGGGCUUGAAUCCGGGAGAGGGAUGCGGAAUUCCAGGUGUAGCGGUGAAAUGCGUAGAUAUCUGGAGGAACACCGGUGGCGAAGGCGGCAUCCUGGACCGGCAUUGACGCUGAGGCGCGAAAGCUAGGGUAGCAAACGGGAUUAGAUACCCCCGUAGUCC